rnacentral:rRNA from 1 species
UGACGGUACCUGACUAAGAAGCCCCGGCUAACUACGUGCCAGCAGCCGCGGUAAUACGUAUGGUGCAAGCGUUAUCCGGAUUUACUGGGUGUAAAGGGAGCGCAGGCGGUUCUGCAAGUUGGAUGUUAAAUCUACGGGCUUAACCCGUAUACGCAUUCAAAACUGUAGGACUUGAGUGAAGUAGAGGUAGGCGGAAUUUCCGGUGUAGCGGUGGAAUGCGUAGAUAUCGGAAGGAACACCAGUGGCGAAGGCGGCCUACUGGGCUUUUACUGACGCUGAGGCUCGAAAGCAUGGGUAGCAAACAGGAUUAGAUACCCUG